rnacentral:rRNA from 1 species
GCUUACGGCCACCGCCUGGUUCACGCCCGAUCUCGUUUGAUCUCGGAAGCUAAGAUAGGGUGGGCCUGGUUAGUACUUGGAUGGGGAGACCGCCUGGGAAUACCAGGUGUUGUAAGAU